rnacentral:snoRNA from 1 species
CUUGCAUGAUGAUUCUAUCAAGAAUUCUGCAAUUCGGACGAUCUCCUCUUGUGUGAGACCGCAUGUUGACUCUUCUACACUUGAUCUGACU